CCUACGGGUUGCAGCAGUGGGGAAUAUUGCACAAUGGGCGCAAGCCUGAUGCAGCCAUGCCGCGCGUAUGAAGAAGGCCUUCGGGUUGUAAAGUACAUUCAGCGGGGAGGAAGGCGAUAAGGUUAAUAACCUUGCCGAUUGACGUUACCCGCAGAAGAAGCACCGGCUAACUCCGUGCCAGCAGCCGCGGUAAUACGGAGGGUGCAAGCGUUAAUCGGAAUUACUGGGCGUAAAGCGCACGCAGGCGGUCUGUCAAGUCGGAUGUGAAAUCCCCGGGCUCAACCUGGGAACUGCAAUUGAAACUGGCAGGCUAGAGUCUUGUAGAGGGGGGUAGAAUUCCAGGUGUAGCGGUGAAAUGCGUAGAGAUCUGGAGGAAUACCGGUGGCGAAGGCGGCCCCCUGGACAAAGACUGACGCUCAGGUGCGAAAGCGUGGGGAGCAAACAGGAUUAGAUACCCGGGUAGUC
rnacentral:rRNA from 1 species